rnacentral:rRNA from 1 species
CACCCUACGGGGCGCAGCAGUGAGGGAUAUUGGUCAAUGGGGGAAACCCUGAACCAGCAACGCCGCGUGAGGGAAGACGGUUUUCGGAUUGUAAACCUCUGUCCUCUGUGAAGAUAAUGACGGUAGAAGAGGAGGAAGCUCCGGCUAACUACGUGCCAGCAGCCGCGGUAAUACGUAGGGAGCGCGCGUUGUCCGGAUUUACUGGGUGUAAAGGGUGCGUAGGCGGGGAAGCAAGUCAGAAGUGAAA